rfam:Jonquetella anthropi DSM 22815 chromosome, whole genome shotgun sequence.
AUAUAAUAAUCAAGUGAGCUUGAGACAGUGGGUGCUCGUGAGAGCACAAAGGCCCAGCCGCCCACCGAGGUUCAGGAGAAAAACGUCGCGCCGUCAGGUGCGGCAUUUGACGCGUUGACUAACGCUCUCCCGCCUCCGGACGGGAGAGUUUUUUGUUUGAGGA